GUGUGUUUGGUUAGUGAUCUGUGGUUGACUGACACCUCCAGGUCAUUACACAAGUGACUGUGCCGAGGAAGGGGGACUCUGGCUCUCUCUUAAUGAUGAGGAAGUCUCCCCCACCACUCAGGAGGCUGUACUCAGAGAGAGAGCCAGCACUGCCUACAUGCUUUUUUACACCAGAAAGUGAAGUGCCCCUUCCUGGUCAUCAAGGCUCAGCACCAGACGCAGACAGGACUCCCCUGCUCAGCAGGAGACACUCAACCAGAGACGUCACAUGUGAAACACUAGAUAAGGGUUCUGUGAGAGGCUGUUGGACCUGCCCCCCCCCCCCACACCACAUCAAGCUGGUCUCCAUGGUGGGGUCUCCUCAGGACCGGAGCGCUACAACAGCUCAGUACCAUCAAGUCCUGCUGCUGAACCCCCCCGUCCCCCCAAACACACACAUACUUGCCCGAAUAAACCAAAAACCCAGUGUUUCGCACACUCCAGUCUACUGUGGAUAUGUUCACACAUACACCCACACACUCCACUGGUGACACCAUCUUCACCACACACACACAUACUCAGAUACAUAUGUUCAUACCACUCUUGAUACCAUCUAGACGAGGGGUUUUCAACAGUUUUUUUCCCUGGGACCACCAUUCUGACUAGAAAGUAAUUUGCGGCCCACUGAUGUGCCUGCAUGCGCGUGCUUGUUUGUAACCACCGCCGCCGCCACGCUCUCUCCACCUGCACAGAUAAUCUGCCUAUAACACUUAAAUAUGUGAAAUUAUCAGGGUGCAUCGCUAGCCGCCGCCACGCCCCCUCCCCAGAUAUUAUAUGUGAAAUGAUCAGGGUGCAUCGCUAGCCGCCGCCACGCCCCCUCCCCCUGCACAGAUAUUCUGCCUAUAACACUUAAAUAUGUGCAGUUAUCAGGG